rnacentral:tRNA from 2 species
GGAGAGGUGGCCGAGUGGUCGAAGGCGCGCCCCUGCUAAGGGCGUAUAUGGCUUAACACCGUAUCGAGGGUUCGAAUCCCUCCCUCUCCGCCA